UAAAAGUAAACUCUUUGUAUGGAGUUGGAACAGCGCCCCUAGCGAGAAACGCAGGCAAACAUUCCAACUCCAUACAAAUUUGAAUUA
rfam:Bombyx mori DNA, contig: Bm_scaf6_contig5114, strain: p50T/Dazao, build 2, whole genome shotgun sequence.